CAGAGGGGCAGAGGGGGAGAGAGGGGGGGCUUGGUUUCCUGGCAACACAGGGGGGAAAGAAAGGGAAGGGAAGGUAAGCAUGCCCUCCCAGCUUCCAUAGCUCAGAGGCAUUCUGGGACAGGAAAAACAGAGUUACAAACUUCUGUGUUGGAAAGAAGGGUCUCCUGGGCUAAGGAAACUUCAAGCAGCUGGAAAUUCCAGCAGGGUCCCCUCUUUACUCUAUCCGGCCUCUCACCGUGGAGCUGAGGAGAGAAACUUGAGUAACCAUGGUCACCUGAUGUCAGACCUGCUUGUGUUGUACUGAACUAUCUAUGGCCUAAAGGAGUGAAAAAGAUACUUAGGAGAGUGCCAGGACCACCAUCUGAGGGUAUAUUCAACAGACACCUAAGACUGAAUUUACACUGAAGUAUAAAUAUGCUUUGCAGCAUGCUUAGCCACAAGGUAGAGAUGCGUGUUCCCAUUUCACUCUGGAGUCACCGGGCUGUGCAGUGCUCAGACUCUUUUCCUUUGCACACUCCAGUAAAAAGGAUGUGAGUGUUAUCAAUGGGUCCCCAGAACUGAGUGCUUCAGGUGAACAUUGGAAGCCUUUUGGGGGGUUUUAUAACUCUAGAGAGAAAUGACAGGAAAUAGUUUGUACUUUUAAGUAAAAAACAGCAAUGAACCAUAUAAUGAAUUCAAUGUAGGUGGAUUUAAAGAUUUUAAAGUUGUGAGUGGAAUUCCUUAUAUGAAUAUGAGGAAAAAUGAAAAUUAAGUCUACAGAUAUGCUAAUUGAUCUGUGUGCAAAUCCCAAACAUCUUACAGACAGACAGAAUCCUUUGAACAAGGUUGAAACUGACAUUUGGAAUAUUUUUACCAACUGUAUAUUGAGAAAACUAGCUCAGCAUUUUGCUCUUUGAGUAUGGGUUUCCUUGAGCAAGAAUUUGAACACUGGGAAUCCCCUCACGUUGCUGUCUCCCUUGCAGAAGUGUAACAUACAUAUUAAGAGACAGAAGUAGUAGAGAAGAAAAUGCAGGGAGGUGAAGACUCAAACAUUUGUUUUGAAAUACCUUAAAGUUUAGUCUAUUUCAUUCAAAUCUCAGAAGCUACAUCUCCAAAAACAAAAUAAACAAAAAUAAACUGACUUUGACUAAAGACCA